ACCCCAGGUUUGUAAAAGCAAGCAGAGACAGGAACCGUAGUUGUCUGACAACGGACUCAGUUGAUGGCUAUUUGAUCCAGACCAUAGAAAUGGUAAAGUGAUAUUUCUAUAAAGAAGUCUUGAAGAUUCACAUCAAACUAAGGAAGCACAAAUACAGGAUGCCGUCAUUACAAGAUUCAACUUUAAUCUUCAAGAAAAAGAGGCUUUGCAGAAUUUUUUCCAUGUGCCAAAUACCCAAGAAGCAAGAUGUACAUCCGGUAUCCCAAAAGAAUAUUUUAACUAAACUAUUUGAUCACGUUUUAGCCAUGUGUUCAGCCCAAAUUAAAGACAUCAUGACUUGGUUGUAUAUAACUGGUUUAAAUUGAAGAGGUUCCAAAAUACAAUGGGAUAUUGCUAACACUCAGUCAGUGUAGCUUGUGUACCCUACCAUUAUAAUAUUUCUGGGUAAAUAUUCACCCUUAGCU